rnacentral:tRNA from 1 species
GGUCUUUAGCUCAGUUGGUAGAGCAGUUGACUUUUAAUCAAUUGGUCGCAGGUUCGAAUCCUGCACGACCCACCA